ACUACAAAGGCAACCUACUUAGAAUUUAUCCAACAAAACAAAGACCAUGACAAGGUCUGGUUCAGUUGACUAAUCAUCUGGAAGCUACAAGAAUGUUUGUUCCAGUGGUAGCCCUGUUUACACCUCUAAAGGAGAGACAUUUACAACCUAUCCAGUACAAACCUGUCUUGUUCAGUAGGAUAAAUUGAUGUACAGUUUUGAAUCCUUUAUGUCAAGUAGAUUAUACAGCAAAACAUUGAACUUGCAAGUUCUUUUAUCAAAGGAGUCAGUUUCUACCUAUAUAUGAUGGGAUAUCUACAUUCAAUCAUCCUGCUGAGCUUUUAUCCCUGUUUUCAAGCAUUGGAUAUGUAGUUCUGCAUGCCCCCCAGGGGCCUUUGAUAGUUCUCUCUGUGGUUGAUACUUGCAUAGAAGAUGAAGAUUUACAAACUCUGAAGGAAUCCAUGCAGAUUCCAUCAGGUAUUUGCCACCUAUAGCUUUUCUUGGGUUUAUUACAUUAGAGAGAAUGGUGCAGAUUCAUGAACUUGGAUGUGAAGGCAUUUCAAAAAGCUAUAUCUUGGGAUAAACAAAGGAUCAAAUCUGCUACACAACUGGGGGAAAUACUGGUGCCUUCAAAAUUAUCUGUUGCUCAAGCCACAUGUGGUCCUCCUGUUCAGUAGCCA
rnacentral:lncRNA from 1 species